rnacentral:rRNA from 1 species
AGUAACGCGUGGAUCAUCUGCCCUGAGGCGGGGAACAACCAGGGGAAACUCUGGCUAAUACCGCAUGAUACCGAGAGGUCAAAGGGGGCUCGCAAGAGCUCUCGCCACAGGAGGAGUCCGCGUUCGAUUAGCUAGUUGGUAGGGUAAUGGCCUACCAAGGCGACGAUCGAUAGCCGGCCUGAGAGGGUGAUCGGCCACACUGGAACUGAGACACGGUCCAG